rnacentral:rRNA from 1 species
GGAAGUAAAAGUCGUAACAAGGUCUCCGUUGGUGAACCAGCGGAGGGAUCAUUAU